rnacentral:rRNA from 1 species
AACGAACGCUGGCGGCGCGUCUUAAGCAUGCAAGUCGAGCGAAUCCUGCUUCGGCAGGGGAAGCGGCGGACGGGUGAGUAACACGUGGAUGAUCUGCCCCCUGGACGGGAAUAGCACAUGGAAACAUGUGAUAAUACCGGAUACGACGGGUAGCGUAGAGGCUGCUCGGGAAAGGUCCUGCGGGACCGCCGGGGGAUGAGUCCGCGGCCCAUUAGCUAGUAGGCGGGGUAAGGGCCCACCUAGGCGACGAUGGGUAGCCGGCCUGAGAGGGUGAACGGCCACAUUGGGAUUGAGAACGGCCCAGACUCCUACGGGAGGCAGCAGCUAAGAAUCUUCCACAAUGGGCGGAAGCCUGAUGGAGCGACGCCGCGUGAGCGAAGAAGGCCGUGAGGUUGUAAAGCUCUUUUCGGGAGGAGGAAUAAGGGCCUGAGGGAAUGCGGGCCCGAUGACGUUAUACCCGGAAUAAGUCCCGGCUAACUACGUGCCAGCAGCCGCGGUAACACGUAGGGGACGAGCGUUGUUCGGAAUGAUUGGGCGUAAAGGGCGCGCAGGCGGGCGGUCAAGCCCGGUGUGAAAUGGAUGGGCUCAACUCAUUCAUGCGCCGGGAACUGGCGGUCUUGAGUACAGGAGGGGAUAUCGGAAUUCCUGGAGGAAGGGUGAAAUCUGUAGAUUUCAGGAAGAACACCGGUGGCGAAGGCGGAUAUCUGGCCAUGUACUGACGCUGAGGCGCGAAGGUGCGGGGAGCGAACAGGUUUAGAUACCCUGGUAGUCCGCACAGUAAACGAUGUGCACCAGGUGUCGGGGGCAACCCCGGUACCGAAGCAAACGCGAUGAGUGCACCGCCUGGGGAGUAUGCUCGCAAGGGUGAAACUCAAAGGAAUUGACGGGGGCCCGCACAAGCGGUGGAGCAUGUGGUUUAAUUCGAUGAUACGCGAGGAACCUUACCAGGGCUUGACAUCCAAUGGAAUGCGCUGGAGACAGCGCAGCCCCUCGGGGCCGUUGGACAGGUGCUGCAUGGCUGUCGUCAGCUCGUGCUGUGAAGUGUGAGAUUAAGUUCUUCAACGAGCGCAACCCCUGCCAUCCGUUGCCAGCAGUGAGAAGCUGGGCACUCAGAUGGGACCGCCGGUGACAAACCGGAGGAAGGCGGGGACGACGUCAAGUCAUCAUGGCCCUUACGUCCUGGGCCACACACGUGCUACAAUGGCCGGUACAGAGCGAGGCGAAGCCGCGAGGCAGAGCGGAUCGCAGAAAGCCGGUCUCAGUACGGACUGGAGUCUGCAACUCGACUCCACGAAGUUGGAAUCGCUAGUAAUCGCGCAUCAGCAUGGCGCGGUGAAUACGUUCCCGGGCCUUGUACACACCGCCCGUCACACCAUCCGAGCCGGAGGUACCCGAAGUCGCCAGCCUGACCGAAAGGGGGGCGGUUCCUAAGGUACGUCUGGUGAGGGGGGUG